UGGACUGCUACUGGCAUCGAAACACCUGCAGAACGUUUUAAUAACUGUUCCCUUGGCUGAUCCGACACUUGAACGAUGAAAGAUAAAAUGAUUGAUUUCAACUUCAGUUCUCCAACGAGACACACCAUAGUCCUGUAGACAGGUAGUACCUACUGAAUAAACAAGAUUUUUUU